AUAUAAGUAACGACCAACAGUGUGAGAAACACUGUCGCUGAAUGACCAAGGGUUCCUGCGUCAAGUUAAUCUGAGCAGGGUUAGCCGGCCCCUAAGGCGAGGCGGAAACGCGUAGUCGAUGGGAACCAUGUUAAUAUUCAUGGGCCUGGUGGUAGUGACGGAUCUGCAGUUUUGUUCCUUCUUAUUGGAUUGAAGGGGCGGGGCGAAUGGUUCCAGGAAAUAGCUCCACCAAUAUAGACCGUACCCGAAACCGACACAGGUGGUCAGGUAGAGUAUACCAAAGCGCUUGAGAGAACGAUGCUGAAGGAACUAGGCAACUUGCCCUCGUAACUUCGGGAUAAGAGGGCCCCACUUGUACGCAAGUAUGGGUGGGGGACACAAACUAGGGAGUAGCGACUGUUUAUUAAAAACACAGGGCUCUGCAAACACGAUUAGUGGAUGUAUAGGGUCUGACGCCUGCCCGGUGCUGGAAGGUUAAAAGGAGAUGUGCAAGCAUUGAAUUGAAGCCCCAGUAAACGGCGGCCGUAACGAUAACGGUCCUAAGGUGGCGAAAUUCCUUGUCGGGUAAGUUCCGACCCGCACGAAUGGCGUAACGACUUCUCCGGUGUCUCCAGCAUCGACUCAGUGAAAUUGAAUUCUCCGUGAAGAUGCGGAGUUCCCGCGGUUAGACGGAAAGACCCCGUGCACCUUUACUGUAGCUUUGCACUGGCAUUAGGAAAUGAUUGUGUAGGAUAGGUGGGAGACUAUGAAGCGUGGGCGCCAGCUCGCGUGGAGUCACCCUUGAAAUACCACCCUGUCGUUUCUUGAUGUCUAACCACGACUCGUAUAUCCGGGUCUGGGACCAUGCAUGGUAGGCAGUUUGACUGGGGCGGUCGCCUCCUAAAGAGUAACGGAGGCGCGCGAUGGUAAGCUCAGGACGGUCGGAAAUCGUCCAUUAGAGUGCAAUGGCAUAAGCUUGCCUGACUGCGAGACCCACAAGUCGAGCAGAGACGAAAGUCGGUCAUAGUGAUCCGGUGGUUCCAAGUGGAAGGGCCAUCGCUCAACGGAUAAAAGGUACGCCGGGGAUAACAGGCUGAUCUCCCCCAAGAGUCCAUAUCGACGGGGAGGUUUGGCACCUCGAUGUCGGCUCAUCACAUCCUGGGGCUGGAGAAGGUCCCAAGGGUACGGCUGUUCGCCGUUUAAAGUGGUACGUGAGCUGGGUUUAGAACGUCGUGAGACAGUUCGGUCCCUAUCUGCCGUGGGUGUAGGAAAAUUGAGAGGAUCUGUCCUUAGUACGAGAGGACCGGGAUGGACAUACCGCUGGUGUACCAGUUGUUCCGCCAGGAGCAUACGCUGGGUAGCUACGUAUGGAACGGAUAAACGCUGAAAGCAUCUAAGCGUGAAACCGACCUCAAAACAAGUUUUCCCCAUUAGGGUCGUGGUAGACUACCACGUUGAUAGGCCGGGUGUGUAAGAGCAGUAAUGCUUUAAGCUAACCGGUACUAAUAACCCGACU
rnacentral:rRNA from 1 species